rnacentral:rRNA from 1 species
UACAGAGGGUGCGAGCGUUAAUCGGAAUUACUGGGCGUAAAGCGCACGUAGGUGGCGUCGUAAGUCGGGUGUGAAAGCCCCGGGCUCAACCUGGGAAUUGCAUUUGUGACUGCCCGGCUAGAGUGUGUCAGAGGGGGGUAGAAUUCCACGUGUAGCAGUGAAGUGCGUAGAUAUGUGGAGGAAUACCGAUGGCGAAGGCAGCCCCCUGGGAUAACACUGACGCUCAUGCACGAAAGCGUGGGGAGCAAACAGG